rnacentral:rRNA from 1 species
GUAAGGAAUAUUGGGCAAUGGACGCAAGUCUGACCCAGCCAUGCCGCGUGCAGGAUGACUGCCCUAUGGGUUGUAAACUGCUUUUUUACGGGGAAAAACCCCCCGAUGCGUCGGGGGCUGAUGGUACCGUAAGAAUAAGCAUCGGCUAACUCCGUGCCAGCAGCCGCGGUAAUACGGAGGAUGCAAGCGUUAUCCGGAUUCAUUGGGUUUAAAGGGUGCGUAGGCGGAGUGGUAAGUCAGUGGUGAAAUCCCCUCGCUUAACGAGGGAACUGCCAUUGAUACUGCCAUUCUUGAGUACAGUUGAGGUAGGCGGAAUGUAUCAUGUAGCGGUGAAAUGCAUAGAUAUGAUACAGAACACCGAUAGCGAAGGCAGCUUACCAAGCUGAAACUGACGCUCAGGCACGAAAGCGUGGGGAGCAAACAGGAUUAGAAACCCCAGUAGUCC